GGGGCAGCGGGGUAGUGCUUGCACUACUGCCGGCGACCGGCGCACGGGUGAGUAACACGUAUGGAACCUGCCCGCAGCAGGGGGAUAAGCGGAAGAAAUUCCGUCUAAUACCGCGUAACAACGUUGGGAGGCAUCUCCCGAUGUUUAAAGAUUUAUCGGCUGCGGAUGGCCAUGCGGCGCAUUAGCUAGUCGGCGGGGUAACGGCCCACCGAGGCGACGAUGCGUAGGGGUUCUGAGAGGAAGGUCCCCCACACUGGUACUGAGACACGGACCAGACUCCUACGGGAGGCAGCAGUGAGGAAUAUUGGUCAAUGGCCGAGAGGCUGAACCAGCCAAGUCGCGUGAGGGAAGACGGCCCUACGGGUUGUAAACCUCUUUUGUCGGGGAGCAAAGCGAACCACGUGUGGUUCAUUGAGAGUACCCGAAGAAAAAGCAUCGGCUAACUCCGUGCCAGCAGCCGCGGUAAUACGGAGGAUGCGAGCGUUAUCCGGAUUUAUUGGGUUUAAAGGGUGCGCAGGCGGAGGUGCAAGUCAGCGGUCAAAUUGCGGGGCUCAACCCCGUACUGCCGUUGAAACUGCAUCCCUUGAGUGCGCGAGAAGUAUGCGGAAUGCGUGGUGUAGCGGUGAAAUGCAUAGAUAUCACGCAGAACUCCGAUUGCGAAGGCAGCAUACCGGCGCGCAACUGACGCUCAUGCACGAAAGCGUGGGUAUCGAACAGGAUUAGAUACCCUGGUAGUCCACGCAGUAAGCGAUGGACACUAACUGUUCGGCCAGAAUGAUGGCUGAGUGGUACAGCGAAAGCGUUAAGUGUUCCACCUGGGGAGUACGCCGGCAACGGUGAAACUCAAAGGAAUUGACGGGGGCCCGCACAAGCGGAGGAACAUGUGGUUUAAUUCGAUGAUACGCGAGGAACCUUACCCGGGCUCAAACGACACAGGAAUACUUUUGAAAGGAGGUAGCCCUACGGGGUCUGUGUCGAGGUGCUGCAUGGUUGUCGUCAGCUCGUGCCGUGAGGUGUCGGCUUAAGUGCCAUAACGAGCGCAACCCCUAUCGCCAGUUACCAUCAAGUAAAGUUGGGGACUCUGGCGAGACUGCCGGCGCAAGCUGAGAGGAAGGCGGGGAUGACGUCAAAUCAGCACGGCCCUUACGUCCGGGGCGACACACGUGUUACAAUGGCAGGUACAGAGAGAAGCCAGGUGGCGACACCGCGCGGAACUCGAAAGCCUGUCUCAGUUCGGAUCGGAGUCUGCAACCCGACUCCGUGAAGCUGGAUUCGCUAGUAAUCG
rnacentral:rRNA from 1 species